UUUCUUUCUUCCCCAAAAUGCAUCUGGACUUUCUGCACAAAUGUUGUUUAGCAUUUCUUCUUAGAUUACCUUUAUCCUCUGUUGUACUUUAGGAUCCAUUAUCCUUUCUUCUGAACUCUUAUAGUUGACUUCCUGUUUUAAGGAAUUAAUGAACUUUGUUUUAUUUUUAACAGUGCUUUUUAACAAAUCAAUUUCUUUUAUCUUUGGUUGCAAGAUAAAAUAGAAAGUAAUUACUCUCCCAUUUAUCUCUGUGCUGAUUCCUUCUUCAGAUAUCUGUUGAAUGGGGUAGAGCAUAUGCAGGAAUGGAUUUCCUAGAAUAACAAGAUGAGAUAAUCCUUUUACCAUUAGGAAUGGGAUUUCGAAACAAGUACCUUGAUUGCAAAUAAUUGUGUUGUUUAAUUUGAACCGUACCGUCAUUUUACUGCCAUUAGCUGUGUUUAAUUCUUCGAUUGUCUUUGAGAAAUACCGCGAAGGGACCAAUCCCUCAUUGAUGCAGUUAAGGUCAGCUCUAGAAUCUAUUAGUGCGAUUGUUUGAAACAUAUACUCCUUAUGGACGACUAUCGUUACCUUGGUAUGCCACUUGUAGGUUAUUACCCUAUCUAUCAUGUUGACAUAAUGAAGAUUGUUGAUGCUUUUAUCAACAUCUUCAGGAUGAUUUUCUUCAGGUUCUUCUGUGGUGAAUUAUUGCUGUUCUUUUAGCAGUUUUAGGAUAUUUAUCCUUUUUUUCAACUCUUUAAUCUCAGUCUUAACCGAGUUGAGCUCUGCCUUCAACUCUAUUAGAGUUGGUUCGUUUGAUCUCUUCGAGUUUUUAACUCUUUCUAGAAUCUCUUUCAAGUCAUAGGGAGACUGCUUGCUUUCUAUUUUUUUAUCCAUCAGAUUAUGAGAAGAAGUUCCACCCUUUUCCCUAUAUAUAUUAAUAUAGGCUUCUAGCUUUUCUCUCUUCUUUUCUGGGUUGUCAAUAUUAUCGAUCAAGUCUAGAAUUAGAUUGUCUUCUUUGGUGAGAACCAAAAGGCCAUUCAUGGCGCAUAGCGAUUUAUAGUAGUCACAUCAGAUUAUGAGAAGAAGUUCCACCCUUUUCCCUAUAUAUAUUAAUAUAGGCUUCUAGCUUUUCUCUCUUCUUUUCUGGGUUGUCAAUAUUAUCGAUCAAGUCCAGAAUUAGAUUGUCUUCUUUGGUGAGAACCAAAAGGCCAUUCAUAGCGCAUAGCGAUUUAUAGUAGUCACAGUUUCCUUCGCAUUCAGUAGUCUCCUUUUGCUCUUCUUCUUCUGUGCUACUUUCUUCUUCUUCUUCUGUCGUAUAAUCUAUGGCAUUGAGUGCCAUGACUUCUUGUUCUGAGUCGAUCUCAUUUAGAAGUACUUUUGCUAACGCUUCUUUCUAAUCUUCUUUUAUCUUCAAAGCUUGAAUUUGCUGCUUAACUCGACACUUAUUAGCGUAGUGACCAACUUUUCCACAUCUGUAGCAAACAAUAGUUUUCUCUGUUUUGCCAUUUCUAAGUUUCGGCUUUUGCUUUAGCUUAUGGGAACGAGCAUGUUCUUGCUUCUGAAACUUUUUUGGUUUAGCCAAAUGUUGAUGAUACUGUCGCCGUUUUCUGUGGCGAAAGUGGUGGUCCUUAUCCUAAUUAUCAUGUUGUCAACCAUAAUAAACACUGUGAUCGUAGAGAGUAUCAAAGAACUCUAAGUCUGUUUAACUGCAUCCUUAAUUACUUAUAUUAGCUUUUAAGAAGUAAUAAUUUUUAAAUCUGGUAUAUAGACUAGAAUACUCAAACUUUCUCAAUCCGGCAAUUGGUGUGCCGUAGAGAUAACUUGAGACACAACGUCACGUACUCAAGUCAGUUGAUGGGAGUAAAAUGCAACCCACUCCUCUAGUUGAUGAAGUGAAAUUGUACUAUAGUCUCGAGUCGCAAGCAUUAACUUUCUUCCCAAACUAGUCUCCUGGAAGUUCUUCGUUCACCUCUACUAUGCCUAAUGAAGGAUGGAAGAAUGAAGCUACUGAUUUUAGAUGACUCAUACAGGAGCAUCAGCAGCAUGACUUUCUCCAAAAAUGAUGAGGGUAUUACCUCUCAGCUGGACCAAAUGAAGGAUAUGCUUAUGCACAUUAUUACUCGAAACACAUCCAGCCAGCCUUCAGCUCCUACUAAUCAAAGUACUUCAUCUGCACCGCCUCUAGAUUAGCCAAAUGUGAGAGGACGUGAUGAUGCUGAUGGUGAUGAUGAGGAUGCUAUAGAUUUGUAGUUCUUCAUCGCUUUAUUGUACUUGUUACCUUCAAUUUUCAAAUUACUUUAAUAUUUAUUUUCUACUAUUUAUAUUGUUUUAUACUUGUAAAUGGUUUGUUAUGAAUGAAUUGAGUGAUUUCUUAUUACUGGAUUGAAUAGUUUCUUGUUAUUGUAUUGAAUUAUUGAUACAUGAGUUGUAUUGAGUGAGUGAGUUUACAGGUAAUCAUGAGAGGUACAAAUAGGGGUAUGGAGGAGUGGAAAAAGGCAAUUAGUAACGGAUUAGUAAUGAAUUUUCCGUUACUAAAAAUUCCAUUACUAUUGUUGGUUAAAUAUAAAAUAGAAUUAUAAUGGAUAAUCCGUUACAAAUCCGUUAUUAAAAAUAUCCGUUAUUAAAA
rnacentral:lncRNA from 1 species